CCUACGGGGGGCAGCAGUGAGGAAUAUUGGUCAAUGGGAGAGAUCCUGAACCAGCCAAGCCGCGUGAGGGAAGACGGCCCUAUGGGUUGUAAACCUCUUUUGUCGGAGAACAAAACCCGGGACGUGUCCCGGACUGCGUGUAUCCGAAGAAUAAGCAUCGGCUAACUCCGUGCCAGCAGCCGCGGUAAUACGGAGGAUUCGAGCGUUAUCCGGAUUUAUUGGGUUUAAGGGGUGCGUAGGCGGUCCGUUAAGUCAGCGGGAAAAUUGCGGGGCUCAACCCCGUCGAGCCGUUGAAACUGGCAGACUUGAGUUGGCGAGAAGUACGCGGAAUGCGCGGUGUAGCGGUGAAAUGCAUAGAUAUCGCGAAGAACUCCGAUUGCGAAGGCAGCGUACCGGCGCCAGACUGACGCUGAGGCACGAAAGCGUGGGGAUCGAACAGGAUUAGAUACCCUGGUAGUC
rnacentral:rRNA from 1 species